ACUUGAUGAUGUGGACAUUUAUGAAGUAGGUCCCUGAAACGUUUCUAGGUCUCAAAGAAAAGUUUCCCAUUCAUUUGUGUGAAACUUGGGAUUGCCCUUCGCAGCU